UACGUAGGGGGCAAGCGUUGUCCGGAAUCAUUGGGCGUAAAGAGCGCGUAGGCGGCUAGAUAAGUCCGGUGUGAAAGUCAAGGGCUCAACCUUGGAAUGCCGCUGGAAACUGUCUGGCUAGAGUCCGGAAGAGGCGAGUGGAAUUCCUGGUGUAGCGGUGAAAUGCGUAGAUAUCAGGAGGAACACCAAUGGCGAAGGCAGCUCGCUGGAGCGUUACUGACGCUGAGGCACGAAAGCGUGGGGAGCGAACAGG
rnacentral:rRNA from 1 species